rnacentral:rRNA from 1 species
UACGUAGGGUGCGAGCGUUGUCCGGAAUUAUUGGGCGUAAAGAGCUUGUAGGCGGUUUGUCGCGUCUGCCGUGAAAAUUCGAGGCUCAACCUCGAACUUGCGGUGGGUACGGGCAGACUAGAGUGUGGUAGGGGAGACUGGAAUUCCUGGUGUAGCGGUGAAAUGCGCAGAUAUCAGGAAGAACACCGAUGGCGAAGGCAGGUCUCUGGGCCACUACUGACGCUGAGAAGCGAAAGCAUGGGGAGCGAACAGG